AUACGUAGGGGGCGAGCGUUGUCCGGAAUGAUUGGGCGUAAAGGGCGCGCAGGCGGCUUUGCAAGUCAGUAGUGGAAGUCCAUUUUUCAAGGAUGGAAGUGCUACAGAAACUGCGGAGCUUGAGUGCAGGAGAGGUUAUCGGAAUUCCCGGUGUAGCGGUGAAAUGUGUAGAGAUCGGGAGGAACACCAGUGGCGAAGGCGGGUAACUGGACUGCAACUGACGCUGAGGCGCGAAAGUGUGGGGAGCAAACAGGAUUAGAUACCCUGGUAGUCCACACUGUAAACGAUGAAUGCUAGGUGUAGGAGGUAUCGACCCCUUCUGUGCCGCAGUAAACACAGUAAGCAUUCCGCCUGGGGAGUACGGUCGCAAGAUUAAAACUCAAAGGAAUUGACGGGG
rnacentral:rRNA from 1 species